AUUAAGCGUGUGCUGAGAGUCUCACCUAAAGCUUUACAAGGAACUUGGACCCCAAUUUCGAUGGCUCACUCAAGUAGAUAUAUAGGAGGUGUUGAAAAAUAUGUGGUCUUUGGUAAUUAUUUUAUAGGUUAGAGGGACUUUUUUUUGUUUUUUGUUUUGUUUUUGUUUUUGUGGUCAAAUUGGAAUAACAUUACCGGCGUAAAAGCCAAAGUUACAAAGCUAGAGUCCAAACCUAACAGACAACUACAACUAGAAAAAUAGAAUAGACUAUUGUGACAAGCUCACUCACUCCCUUAUGAUAUUGUUAUUGAUGGACUUUGGACAAAUACAAUGAUGGAUGUGUCUAACACACACACAUGUUGGCGUGGCUUGUGGAUAUUGACUUACUUUCCUUACACACCAAGAAUUCCUAUUAUAAUUGUAAUUGAUUUACUUUAAUUCCUGAUUUCCUACUGUAAAUGGAUUUAAGAAUUUAUUAUUUACUUGCCCAUUCAGGUUUUGUUGUAUUAUAAAUAUGAUCUCCUAUAAGGAGAAGAAUACACAGAAAAUUCCCACAAACAAAUAUUCUCUCAUAGUUUUCAUAUUUUAGCAUGGUAUCAGAGCGGCGAUCUUGGGAUUGCUGACUCUAGAAGAAUACACAGAAAAUUCCCACAAACAAAUAUUCUCUCAUAGUUUUCAUAUUUUAGCAUGGUAUCAGAGCGGCGAUCUUGGGAUUGCUGACUCUAGUUUCUAAACCCUAGCUGCCACCAUGGGGGAGGAUGACUCUUCUAAUCCUCAUGGCGGUAGCACCACUGCUUCCUCCUCUCCUUCUCAACCAACCAUAGCCGAGUUGAGUGCCCAGGUGGCUCAACUAAUACAGAUGCAGACUCAGACCUCGAAAUUGAUCCUAAAUCAGGAUCCUACCAAGACGACCCCGACCUCGACUCAGACGACGACCCCGACCUCGAAUCAGACGACGACCUUGAACCCGAAUCAGACAACGAUUCCGACGACAAUUACCUAUGAAGCUUCCGCUGCGCAGAUUGGCAUAAAGUUGGAUGGCACCAACUAUGCCCUAUGGUCCCAAGUUGUAGAGUUGUAUAUCUCCGGCAAAGACAAAUUGGGAUAUAUUAAUGGCGAUCUUCCACAACCUCCUUCGACCGCUCCAACGUUUCCUCGCUGGCGCACCGAGAACUCUAUUGUGAAGGGAUGGCUCAUCAAUUCUCUGGAGCAGAGCUUGAUUGGCAAUUUCAUUCGUUUUUCGACGGCAAAAGCAGUGAGGGAUGCAAUUGCCACAACUUACUAUGAUGGCACUGACACCUCUCAGGUUUAUGAUCUGAAACGACGAGUCUCUCGUAUGCGACAAGCUGGUGGCUCCAUUGAAACCUAUUACAAUACUCUCCAAAGCUUAUGGAGAGAAAUUGAUUUUCGUCAUCCAAAUAUGAUGGAGUAUGAAAGUGAUAUCAAGCGCUAUAAUGAUAUUCUGCAGGAAGAUCGAGUUUACAUAUUUUUGGAUGGCCUUGAUGAUCGUCUUGAUAAGGCCUGAAGUGAUGUUCUUCACAUGACUCCAUUCCCUACUGUUGACCAAGCUUAUGCCUAUGUUCGCCGUGAAGAUGUUCUACAAGCAGUGAUGAUGGGUUCAUCCGAUCGAGCCACUGGUGCUAGCUUAGCAGCCAAGAGUGUGCCUCGAUCAGGUCCCCCUACUCGUGCCGGACAGCCCCAUAAUUCCUCUACUGCGGCCCACCUUCAGAUCCAGUCAUAUGCUACUGCUGUUGGUGCGCCACUUCCUAAAACCAUCCCACCUUCCCGUCCCAAGGCUCCGACUGAUGGAAGUGGUUGCACGCACUGUAGCAACCUCAAACAUACCCGUGACACCUGUUUUAAGCUAAAUGGUUAUCCUGAUUGGUGGGAGGACCUCCGUGCUUGCAAGCUCAGAGAAACUGCUAGUAAUUCCGGCCGUGCUGCUCUUGUCUCUACCGAACCCCCAUUAGCCUUGUUCCCGCAGGUAGAUCCUACUGAUAGUCCCGCGCUUCCGGAUGUCUCAAGUAACUGUGGUUAUGCAUUUCAUACUUCUGAUCUACGAGAUACUACUGGUUGGAUAAUUGAUUCUGGCGCCACUGAUCAUAUGACCUUUGAUCGGAAUGAUUUUUUGCACACCACUACACCCCGCCGCACAAGUAUUGCCAAUGCAAAUGGAGUUACCUAUCCUGUGACAGGGGCCGGCACUGUUGCCCUUUCACCUUCUCUGUCCCUUUCUAAUACUCUACUCAUUCCAUCUUUGUCCAAUAAAUUAAUGUCUGUGAGUCAGGCAACUGAACAACUAAAUUGUUAUGCACUAAUUUAUCCCAAUUUUUGUUUACUACAGGAUAUUCUCACCAAGGAGAUCAUUGGGCGCGGUACUAAAAGAGGGGGGCUAUACUAUGUGGAUGACUUCAGUAUGGGACAUGCCAAUAGUGUGAAGCAUCCAUCUGAUGACAAGCACCGACAAAUUUGGCUAUGGCACCGACGUUUGGGGCAUCCAUCUUUUGGUUAUAUGAGACACUUAUUGCCCGAGUUGUUUUCUGUAUUUAAGGACUCAGAUUUUAAAUGUGACACUUGCAUUCUAGCCAAGAGUCAUAGAGCAUCCUAUCCUUUAAGUAUGAAUAAAAGUACUAUUCCUUUUGCUUUAAUUCAUUCUGAUGUUUGGGGACCCUCACCUAUUUCUACUCAUUCCAGUAUUCGUUGGUUUGUCACAUUCAUAGAUGAUUGUACAAGGAUGACAUGGCUUUAUUUGAUGAAAAAUAAGAAUGAAGUGUUUUCCUUGUUCCAAUCCUUUCACAAACAGAUGGAAACACAGUUCAAUGCUCGAAUACAGAUUCUUCGCUCUGACAAUGGUGGAGAAUUUGUUAAUCAUGAUUUUCAGACUUACUUCCAGACACAUGGCAUUAUUCAUGAGACAACUUGCCCCCAGACACCACAACAAAAUGGUGUUGCCGAACGGAAGAAUCGUCAUCUCCUUGAAACAACCCGUGCUCUUCUCAUUGGUGGCCAUGUUCCUCGUCAUCACUGGGAUGAUGCUAUCGUCACUGCUGUCCACCUUAUCAACCGCAUGCCAUCUGGGGUCUUGAACUUCAAAACUCCAUUACAAGUGCUCGCGCAACACGGGCCUCUGCCCUCUGUUUUGGUGCUUACCCCUCGCAUUUUUGGCUGUGUGGCCUUCGUUCAUCUCCACAAAAAUCAACGAAGCAAACUUGAUCCAUGUGCGCUUCGUUGUGUUUUUUUGGGUUAUGCCACUCAUCAGAAAGGCUACAGAUGUUAUCACCCUCCUACCCGGCGAACCUAUGUCACUUUGGAUGUCACCUUUCUGGAAUCAGAUAUGUUCUUCUAUGACCCAGCAUCUAAUUCUACUCUUCAGGGGGAGAUACCGAAUGAAGAGCUCAAUUGGAGCAGCUUGGAAAAUGAGGAUAUUCAUCUAUGCACGAAGAUUGCUCUCGGCCAAGAAACAAUAACAAUCGAUCGUCCCGAGUCUGGCACGUGCGAAUGCUCUCUGCCAAACAACGAUCGAUCGCCUAACCCUUGCGAAGAUGUUUUUGAUUCGAGUCAUACUAUUGCAGACAACUCAGAACAACAAGAUGAAGACCCCCCCUCUCAUUCAACAGUACCAACGGACCAAUCUCCUGAGAAUAUCUUUGAGGUAAAUACUCCUACUAGACAUGUGCAUUUAGAGGAUAAAACUAUUGGAUAUCAAUUACCUUUCAGGCAAAAUCGUGGGAAGCCACCAAACUGUUAUUGACCUGAUAUUGGCAAGACAUCCAAGUAUCCAAUUGCAAAUCAUGUAUCCACUGAGAAGCUGUCUGAACCACUCAAGGCUUAUGUGCAUCAGUUAUCUGCUAUCCAUAUUCCAACCAAGGUCUCUGAAGCAUUGAAAGAUCCUAAGUGGGUCCAAGCUAUAAAAGAGGAGAUGAAAGCUCUUGAGAAAAAUCAGACUUGGACAUUGGAGACUAUACCACGCGAAAAAAAGACUAUCGGAUGUAGAUGGGUGUUUACUAUAAAACAUAAUGCAGAUGGAUCUAUCGAGCGAUACAAGGCAAGACUUGUGGCAAAAGGGUACACACAGACCUAUGGUAUAGACUAUGAAGAAACUUUUGCACCAGUUGCAAAGUUAAACACCGUCAGAGUCUUAUUGUCCCUUGCAGCUAAUUUGGAUUGGCCACUACACCAGUUUGAUGUAAAGAAUGCUUUUCUACAUGGCGAACUCACGGAGGAGGUGUACAUGGACAUUCCUCCUGGAUAUAAUACUACUCAGACUGGAACAGUUUGCAGGUUACGAAAAGCAUUGUAUGGAUUGAAACAGUCACCACGUGCAUGGUUUGGACGGUUCACCAUGGCAAUGAAGAACAAUGGUUUCAAACAGUGCAACUCAGAUCAUACUCUGUUCUUGAAACAUCGGAAAGGGAAGGUAACAGCAUUAAUAAUCUAUGUUGAUGAUAUGAUUAUUACUGGGAAUGAUAAACAGGAAAUAUCACAGCUACAAGACUAUUUGGCUACUGAGUUUGAGAUGAAGGAUCUGGGUGGACUCAAGUAUUUCUUGGGAAUUGAGGUGGCUCGAUCGCAGCAAGGCAUAUUUCUCUCUCAAAGGAAAUAUGUCUUGGACUUGUUGACGGACAUAGGAACGCUAGAUUGCAAACCUGCGGACACUCCUAUUGUUCAGAAUCAUCAUCUUGGAGAAUAUCCGGAUCAAGUUCCAACUAACAAAGAAAGAUACCAAAGGUUAGUGGGAAGAUUGAUCUAUUUGUCACAUACUCGACCAGACAUUGCUUAUGCGGUGAGCGUUGUCAGUCAAUUUAUGCACUCUCCAAGUGAAGACCACAUGAAUGCAGUUCUUCGGAUACUUAGAUAUUUAAAGUCUGCACCUAGAAAAGGACUUAUGUUCUCAAAGCAUGGUCAUCUAAAUAUUGAUGGUUAUUCAGAUGCAGAUUGGGCAGGUAAUGUAACAGAUAGAAAAUCCACAUCGGGUUACUUCACAUUCGUGGGAGGUAAUUUGGUGACAUGGAGGAGCAAGAAACAGAAUGUAGUAGCUUUAUCCAGUGCAGAAGCCGAGUUCAGAGGCAUGACUAAAGGGAUUUGUGAACUUCUUUGGUUAAGAAAGUUGCUUACUGAACUUGGGUAUAAACCUACAUCCACAAUGGACCUCUUUUGUGACAACAAGGCUGCUAUAGCCAUUGCACAGAAUCCGGUUCAACAUGAUCGUACUAAACAUGUUGAGGUGGAUCGACACUUCAUCAAACAGAAGCUUGAGGCUAAAGUGUUUCAGUUUCCUUUUGUGAAAUCCGAGGAUCAAUUGGCGGAUAUUUUGACAAAGGCAAUUUCCAGUAAAGCAUUUCACAAUUCACUGGAUCAGUUGGGCAUUGGCGACAUCUAUGCACCAACGUGAGGGGGAGUGUUGGCGUGACUUGUGGAUAUUGACUUACUUUCCUUACACACCAAGAAUUCCUAUUAUAAUUGUAAUUGAUUUACUUUAAUUCCUGAUUUCCUACUGUAAAUGGAUUUAGAAAUUUAUUAUUUACUUGCCCAUUCAGGUUUUGUUGUAUUAUAAAUAUGACCUCCUAUAAGGAGAAGAAUACACAGAAAAUUCCCACAAACAAAUAUUCUCUCAUAGUUUUCAUAUUUUAGCAACACACACAUAGAAAAUUAACCAAGCACUAAUGACACAAGUGUUUAUAGAGGUUCAGCAAUUGCCUAUAUCAUCUUUGAUGAUCCCCUAGGUUACAACUUUGGUUUACCAAUGGUAACCCCCUUAGAACACUACCCUCACAACAUGUUUCUCUCACACCCCUUACUCAACACUUUAAUACACUUGAUAACUCUCUUCCCCUUGGU
rnacentral:lncRNA from 1 species